rnacentral:rRNA from 1 species
UACGUAGGGUGCGAGCGUUAAUCGGAAUUACUGGGCGUAAAGCGUGCGCAGGCGGUUUGUUAAGACAGAUGUGAAAUCCCCGGGCUUAACCUGGGAACUGCAUUUGUGACUGGCAAGCUAGAGUAUGGCAGAGGGGGGUAGAAUUCCACGUGUAGCAGUGAAAUGCGUAGAGAUGUGGAGGAAUACCAAUGGCGAAGGCAGCCCCCUGGGCCAAUACUGACGCUCA